UACGAAGGUGGCAAGCGUUGUUCGGAUUUACUGGGCGUACAGGGAGCGUAGGCGGUUGGAUAAGCCCUCCGUGAAAUCUCCAGGCUUAACCUGGAAAGUGCAGAGGGGACUGUUCAGCUAGAGGAUGGGAGAGGAGCGCGGAAUUUCCGGUGUAGCGGUGAAAUGCGUAGAGAUCGGGAGGAAGGCCGGUGGCGAAGGCGGCGCUCUGGAACAUUUCUGACGCUGAGGCUCGAAAGCGUGGGGAGCAAACAGG
rnacentral:rRNA from 1 species